rfam:Camelus ferus unplaced genomic scaffold scaffold29410, whole genome shotgun sequence.
GAGGGUACAGCUCAGGGGUGGAGCGCAUGCCUAGUGUGCACAAGGUCCUGGGUUCAAUCCCCAGUACCUCCA